CAGCCGCCGCGGGAAUACAGAGGGUGCAAGCGUUAAUCGGAAUUACUGGGCGUAAAGCGCGCGUAGGUGGUUUGUUAAGUUGGAUGUGAAAUCCCCGGGCUCAACCUGGGAACUGCAUCCAAAACUGGCAAGCUAGAGUAGGGCAGAGGGUGGUGGAAUUUCCUGUGUAGCGGUGAAAUGCGUAGAUAUUGGGAAGAACACCGGUGGCGAAGGCGGCGACCUGGUCUUUUACUGACGCUGAGGCGCGAAAGCGUGGGGAACAAACAGGAUUAGAGACCCCUGUAGUCCCUGUCUCUUAUAC
rnacentral:rRNA from 1 species